UACGUAGGGUGCGAGCGUUAAUCGGAAUUACUGGGCGUAAAGCGUGCGCAGGCGGCUUUGCAAGACAGAUGUGAAAUCCCCGGGCUCAACCUGGGAACUGCAUUUGUGACUGCAAGGCUAGAGUACGGCAGAGGGGGAUGGAAUUCCGCGUGUAGCAGUGAAAUGCGUAGAUAUGCGGAGGAACACCAAUGGCGAAGGCAAUCCCCUGGGCCUGUACUGGCGCUCAUGCACGAAAGCGUGGGGAGCAAACAGG
rnacentral:rRNA from 1 species